rnacentral:misc_RNA from 1 species
UUGUCGAUGCCUAAACCAAUCCAACCACCGAAUGCGUCAAAACACCCGAAGCGCCGGGAGAGGAGGGGUCUGAAUGGAUCUCGCCUCUUCAGGCACGACCCAAACCCCGGCACUUGACGUGCCAAGGAUGCAAAACAUAUUCUUGGUCGAGUCCGAAGGACAGUGUCCAACGGAAUCGUCACGAAACGAAUUAAAAUGACUCUCGGCAACGGAUAUCUCGGCUCUUGCAUCGAUGAAGAACGUAGCGAAAUGCGAUACUUGGUGUGAAUUGCAGAAUCCCGUGAACCAUCGAGUCUUUGAACGCAAGUUGCGCCCAAAGCCAUUAGGCCGAGGGCACGCCUGCCUGGGUGUCACACAUCGUCACCCCCAUGCAAAUGCGCAUUGGGGUGAAAGUUGGCCUCCCGCGAAACAUUUGUUGUGGUUGGUCGAAAACCAAGGUAAUGUCGGGGUCCCCCUGCGAGAAACGGUGGAUGAGCAACGCUCGAGACCAACGGCGGUGGCGGACACUCGGUACACCAAUUGGUGGGCCCUAUUGUGUUUUUGGAAAAAAUCAAAGACGCUCAUAAAGAGACCUCAGGUCAGGCGGGGCUACCCGCUGAGUUUAAGCAUAUCAAUAA